CUAUUGCAAAUGGUAUGCCAAUAUGGGUGUAAAUUUCAUUCCUGGGCUACUAUACAGUCUCAAAGGCAACGUAGCCAAUCUGGCGAAUUUCAAUUUCAAAUGUAACGUGCUAUAUUUGACCCUGUAACUUCCCAAAACGCCAUAAAACCUGUACAUAGGGGGUACUGUUUUACACGUGAGACUUUGCUGAAUAAAAAUAUGUGUAUUUUAUUGCAGUAAAAGCAAACAGUAUUAUGACAUUGACAGUUAAAAUGUCAUGUAGAACUAAAAAAAUUA